rnacentral:lncRNA from 1 species
AGAGACCCUCCACUGUUCCCACAGGCUACGCGGUACAAGGACCUGAUUGGUUCCAGGGAAACUGUCAUUUGGGGCCACAGAAUCCACUUGCUGUACUUCUACUUUUCUCCAAAUGUUCAGGCAGCAGGGCACCAGUGGGUUUUAAUUCUCCAGCGCCCCACGCAGACAAGGGGCAGAAUCUCAUUGUGUCUCUCAGAUGGCAAAUAGCAGCGGACCCACCCACACCCAAGGAUCCUUGGAGGUCAAUGGAGAAGCUGAGCACUUUUCUGAACUAUCACACUGUCACCAAACUCUCUCUGCUCCUGUCUCUUGUUAAGGUUCCCUGGACAGCACAAGGUUGCAUAAAGUGCUCUCUCCUCACAAUUCAUAUGUUGAGCCACGACCUGACUUCCUGGACCUCAGAAUGCGACCUUAUUUGGGAGUAGGGUGAUUGCAAAUACAAUCAGUUCAUUUAAGAUGAGGUCAUACUAUGGAGGGCCCUUAAUCUAAAAUGACUAAUGCUGUGUCUUUGAACAAGGGGGGAAAUGUGGGCACCGACUCACAGACUGGAAAAUGUGAUGUAAGGAUGAAGGCAGAGGGUGGGCGAUGCUUCCACUAGCUAACGAUAGCUGGAAAUGGCUAUCAAACAACUAGAAAUCGGGAGGAAAGCUGGGAACAGACUCAGCCUUCAGAAGAAAGAAACACUGCCAACACCUUUAUCCUGAAAUGUCAGCUUCAAGAACCGUGAGAUAAUACAUUUCCGACAUUUAAACUACCAAUUUGUGGUACUUUGUGAAGGCAGCCCUGGGAACCUAAUACAUGGAACAAAUUGUUCUGUCUUCCCAAUCUACCCUCUUUCCACCCUCCCACCCCAACUUCUGAAGAAGCAGCCAUGUUGAACAACAUGUCACCCCUCCCUUGGUUAGAGUUCACUGGUAACUGACAUCUGAGAGCAAAGAGAAAGUUUCUAAAGAUUUCAACUAAAAACAUAAAU